GGCUCUUUGGUGAUGUGAUCAGCACAUUUGACUCUUACUUGGGAGACUGGGGUUCAAUUCCCCGCCUGGGCCC